UACGGGGGGAGCAAGCGUUGUUCGGAUUUACUGGGCGUAAAGGGCGCGUAGGCGGUCAGCACAAGUCAGUUGUGAAAUCUCCGGGCUUAACUCGGAAAGGUCAACUGAUACUGUGCGACUAGAGUGCAGAAGGGGCAACUGGAAUUCUCGGUGUAGCGGUGGAAAUGCGUAGAUAUCGAGAGGAACACCUGCGGCGAAGGCGGGUGCUGGGCUGACACUGACGCUGAUGCGCGAAAGCCAGGGGAGCGAACGGG
rnacentral:rRNA from 1 species